UCAAAUAAUUUCUUACGAUUACAUGUACAGCGGUCUCGAAACAAAACGAACUAUCAAUUUUUGCAUCGGAACAAAUUCCUAUAUAACAAUGAAAACAAGAUAAAAAAAAAACCAUAGUAAUAGAUAGUUAAUAGAUACUUUAGAUAAAUGUUAGCUACUCUAAAUAUCGCCAUUAAUGUCACAAAAAGAAAUGGUUUCUUAAUUGUUAUUUUUUAGUGUUCGUAAACUAAAUGUUGUUGUUUUUUGUUUGUAUUUCAAUGUUUUAAAGGAUAACAAGUCAUCUCUUCGCCUAUCCACUUUGAUAUAAAAUAUUUUGAUUGAAAAAAUUACGAUGGCUAUUUUUUUUUAAUUUGUACUUCAAUUAUUAUUACGUUAAGAACAAAUACCAUUUCAUGAUUUUUUGAUUUUGACCAAAACGCCUUAGUAUAAUGUUACCUCUUUACAAUAUUCCGAUGGCCAUUUAGAGAACACUUUCGUACUGUAGACUUGUCACAUCAGCUUUGUUCAUUUUUAAAAGACACACAGAGUAAUGCAUUAUAAAAAGGGCAUGUCUAAAUUAUUUGAUAUUUUGUGAAUGAUCUACAUAUCUUGUAAACAUUUAUAGCUCAAUCUGCUCAGCGGCUAUGGGGUGCCUUAAAGCUUUUUAAAUAAGAUAUUUGUUACUAUUAUCACUUUGAUGUUCGUUUAUGCUGAUUUUCAUUUUUGAUAUGCUUACAUGUUUGCAAUUUGCAUUUUGUAUUAAAUCAGUACUGAAUUAAAAAAGGAGCUAAAAUGUUUAUGGAAUGUACAUUUAAGCGUAAUCACGGAGACAUUAAAACAGAUCUUUUCUCCGAUUUGAGACAUUCCAAUGUAAUUUGGCAAAUACAUUGACGUCUCAUGUAAAUCGUUUGUAUGCAAUAUAUGCUGACUUUUCCAUUCUUGUUUCCAGAGCUCUUACGUAAAAUAAACAAGAUGGAUGACGACGGGUUCGUGCAGGCCAAAUACAUCAAAGUCCUAGUUAGCUGUAUUUUACGACACAACAAUCUGAUAAAGAACUUAAUGAAUUCAAGAAAGUAAAAUUUGGAGACAUACUUAGGAGUUCAGUUGGUGCUUUCUCUAAAAUGCGCUUAUUUUGAGGGAUGUUUAAUACCAGAACUUGAUCAAAGGUGAUCAAAGACACAAUUAAGGAGAAAACAGGUGUCCAGAGAUUAAAAUAAGUCCCCAUCGCAUCGCUGGUGAUGUGAUGAUAAUGUGCAUCUGUGAUAAUGAUUAUCCAAUCAAAAAUUGUCUUUCAUGGCUUUGUCCUCGUGACGUAAUCUGAAUGAACUAUGUACUCGUUUUCUAUUGAUGUAAGUAAGUGCGAGCGGAUUUCUUAUUUCUGUGCGGAUCAGACUCCCGCUGUUUCGUUUUUGCUUUUGACUGUUGUGUCUGAGUGACCCCCGCUGUUUGAGCCGUGUGUGCGUCGUCAUUGUCCGAAGUUUUCGUCAUAAUCCGCUGGUCCUCGGCAGGAGACGUACAUCCAGUGCAGUGUGAUUCAUGUGAUACUUAUAUGACAUUCCAUCAUUAUGCUUCUCAUCAGAUCACAGUCGCCUAUACCUGUCAGUAUUUCUUCCUUUCCAAAUUAUUAUCCUCUAUUUUCUAAAGAAAAUAUCAUUGUCACUAUUUCUUUUAGCAGCAUAUUUCCCGCGGCUACUUUUCUGCUAUUUUAAUUUCAUGCGCUAAUUAUUUUUGUUUUAACGUGAGUUUUAUUAUAUUUUAGUAAUACACGUUUUUAAAUGCUUAUUUUCUAAUGAAAGCGAGAUAACUUGAAUUCUAUACGAACAUUCACAAGUAAAAACAAUUAUGGUUUCAAAUAAAUGGAGUCGACUUUUGCAAUUGUUUAGAUGCGGGAAAAUAAUUGCAUUAUGAUGGAGCUCAGUGCUAUUUUCAGUGAAGGUUAAACAAGUUUAUUCCGGACACCAAUCUCCUAUACAUGUAUUGAAACAUUUUUUGUCGUAUGAACAGCGAGUAUUUCAAGUAAUGAACAACGCGAGUAGAUUUUAUGUAAAAAUGCAACACAUAUAUCCCCAUUUCCUUUCGUCAGAUAACUUGUUCAAUACGAUCUUAAUUAUAUAAACUCAAAAAUUUUAUGGCGCACAAUUAUACUAAACUGAAAACUAUUUCUGUAUCUGUUGAUGCUUCUGAUGAGAAUUAUCCAUGUUUAUGCAAUCAUUGUAAGAAUAAUUAUAUGGGUAUGUGCCAGUGCUUGUAAGGAAAGCAUUUAUGUAUGUGCCUGUAAGAAAAAUUAUCUAUGUAUGUGCCGGUGCUUGUAAGGAAAAUCAUUUACAUGUAUGUAUGUGCCGGUGCCUGUAAGAAAAAUUAUCUAUGUGUGUACCAGUGCUUGUAAGGAAAAUUAUCUAUGUGUGUACCAGUGCUUGUAAGAAAAAUUAUCUGUGACGUGUCAUUUGUUGGUAAGGAAAAUUGUCUGUGUAUGUAUCAUUUGUUGGUAAGAAAAAUUAUAUAUGUAUAUGCCUGUGCUUGUAAGGAAAAUUAUCUGUGUAUGUGCCAGUGCUUAUAAGGAAAAUUAUCUAUGUGUAUGAUAGUGCUUACAAUGAGAAUUGAUGCUUGCUAGGAUGCAGGAUGAUGCUAUGUAUUUAUGAUAUUAUUUUUACCAGAUAGUUUACCUGUGUUCCAUUCAUUGUGUGUAAGUGUUGCUUUUUUCUGUGUGUCGUUGUGCUAGUAAUUUAUCAGGGUGACAGCUAUUUGAAACAGAUGUGCAAUGCUAUUUAAUUUAUUCGUCUAUUUAUUUAUAUAAAUGUGUCAUAUCGUUGCUUAAUUUCUUGAUAUUUAUGAAAUCGUUGAAAUACAUAUUUUUAAACAA